UGAUUCCAUAUUAGCCUAGCCUAGCCUGAGAGCGUCGGAGAGAUAUCGCUGCUGCGCUUUCUCCAGCGUGGGCUGCAAGAGCACAACUUCAGAGAGUCAAGACACAACACAGCCACCUCAUAAGAGCAGGAAACACGGGAAACUUUAACAAUGACAACCAAGAAGCCGCAGAGCUUGCUCCGUGAAGCGUCUCAUCAGAUUAUAGCGGGGGGAUCCGCAGGUCUGGUGGAGAUCUGCUUGAUGCAUCCACUCGAUGUAGUGAAGACAAGGUAAGCCACC